UACGAAGGGGGCUAGCGUUGCUCGGAAUCACUGGGCGUAAAGCGCACGUAGGCGGCUUCUCAAGUCAGGGGUGAAAUCCUGGAGCUCAACUCCAGAACUGCCUUUGAUACUGAGGGGCUCGAGUCCGGGAGAGGUGAGUGGAACUGCGAGUGUAGAGGUGAAAUUCGUAGAUAUUCGCAAGAACACCAGUGGCGAAGGCGGCUCACUGGCCCGGUACUGACGCUGAGGUGCGAAAGCGUGGGAGCAAACAGGG
rnacentral:rRNA from 1 species